UGAUCAAGGUGGUAAGAAGCAGAAAGGGGGGUGAUAAAUAAAAAAUUGCUGCAAUACAGUCCUGACCAAGUAGAAAUUUAGACAGUGAUAAGAAACAAACCCACCAGUCAUACUAGCGGAUUUAGGUAGCUAGCUAGCAACAGGCCCACUGCCAGGAAGAUCAGUUUGGACUUUGGAUCUGGAAGGGCUACAUGACAACUCCUGGUAAGACCUGUUUGUGUUUGGGUGAAGACUGGUGGCAGCAGUCAGGCUGAGAAGGCACCACAACCUGUGAUGUCAGCUACUGGAGUGAGCAUGUGGUCUAAGCAUCGCAUGCUGCUUACAGAAAUUAAUAUUAUUGAUUCCCAAACAUUCUCUGCACUUACCAUCCAUGAAGCUCGGACUGAUCAUCUGUCUUGCAUUCCCUUUAUUGAUUUCAAUUUCUGAGCCAAGACAUGCAAGUGUACUUAAAAAUGCACUGAUCCUAUAGCUCUGCAAGCAAUAAGCUCAUGACAAAGGAAUUGACUUGAUUACUGUCGAAGAAAGAGAGAAAAUAAAAAGAAAUAUUGGGAAAUAUACUGUCUUUAA
rnacentral:lncRNA from 1 species